rnacentral:rRNA from 1 species
AGCGAACGCUGGCGGCAGGCUUAACACAUGCAAGUCGAGCGCCCCGCAAGGGGAGCGGCAGACGGGUGAGUAACACGUGGGAACGUGCCCUUUGGUCCGGAACAACCCAGGGAAACUUGGGCUAAUACCGGAUACGUCCGUAAGGAGAAAGAUUUAUCGCCAAAGGAUCGGCCCGCGUCUGAUUGGCUAGUUGGUGGGGUAACGGCCCACCAAGGCUACGAUCAGUAGCUGGUCUGAGAGGAUGAUCAGCCACAUUGGGACUGAGACACGGCCCAAACUCCUACGGGAGGCAGCAGUGGGGAAUAUUGGACAAUGGGGGCAACCCUGAUCCAGCCAUGCCGCGUGAGUGAUGAAGGCCUUAGGGUUGUAAAGCUCUUUUAGCGGGGAAGAUAAUGACGGUACCUGGAUAAGAAGCCCCGGCUAACUUCGUGCCAGCCGCCGCGGUAA